AUUGAGCGCUGGCGGCAUGCCUUACACAUGCAAGUCGAACGGUAACGGGCCUUCGGGUGCCGACGAGUGGCGAACGGGUGAGUAAUACAUCGGAACGUGCCCGAUCGUGGGGGAUAACGAGGCGAAAGCUUUGCUAAUACCGCAUACGAUCUACGGAUGAAAGCAGGGGACCGCAAGGCCUUGCGCGGACGGAGCGGCCGAUGGCAGAUUAGGUAGUUGGUGGGAUAAAAGCUUACCAAGCCGACGAUCUGUAGCUGGUCUGAGAGGAUGAUCAGCCACACUGGGACUGAGACACGGCCCAGACUCCUACGGGAGGCAGCAGUGGGGAAUUUUGGACAAAGGGCGCAAGCCUGAUCCAGCCAUGCCGCGUGCAGGAUGAAGGCCUUCGGGUUGUAAACUGCUUUUGUACGGAACGAAAAGCCUUCUUUUAAUACAGGAGGGUCAUGACGGUACCGUAAGAAUAAGCACCGGCUAACUACGUG
rnacentral:rRNA from 1 species